rnacentral:rRNA from 1 species
UCGAGGGGCAGCACGAUGUAGCAAUACAUUGGUGGCGACCGGCGCACGGGUGAGUAACGCGUAUGCAACCUACCUAUCAGAGGGGAAUAACCCGGCGAAAGUCGGACUAAUACCGCAUAAAACAGGGGUUCCACAUGGAAAUAUUUGUUAAAGAAUUAUCGCUGAUAGAUGGGCAUGCGUUCCAUUAGAUAGUUGGUGAGGUAACGGCUCACCAAGUCCACGAUGGAUAGGGGUUCUGAGAGGAAGGUCCCCCACACUGGUACUGAGACACGGACCAGACUCCUACGGGAGGCAGCAGUGAGGAAUAUUGGUCAAUGGGCGAGAGCCUGAACCAGCCAAGUCGCGUGAAGGAUGAAGGAUCUAUGGUUUGUAAACUUCUUUUAUAUGGGAAUAAAGUGAGGAACGUGUUCCUUUUUGUAUGUACCAUAUGAAUAAGCAUCGGCUAACUCCGUGCCAGCAGCCGCGGUAAUACGGAGGAUGCGAGCGUUAUCCGGAUUUAUUGGGUUUAAAGGGUGCGUAGGUGGUUAAUUAAGUCAGCGGUGAAAGUUUGUGGCUCAACCAUAAAAUUGCCGUUGAAACUGGUUAACUUGAGUAUAUUUGAGGUAGGCGGAAUGCGUGGUGUAGCGGUGAAAUGCAUAGAUAUCACGCAGAACUCCGAUUGCGAAGGCAGCUUACUAAACUAUAACUGACAC